UUUCACCAAUCAAGCUUGGCUUGGUAUUGGGCCUCGUCCCCAAAGGACGGGCCUCGAAGACCCCGGCCGCGCGGUCCCGCUUCAGGCGUAGCAGAGCUUUCGCAGCCUCGCCUUGGAAGCGUGUCCGUGUCGCGCCGAAUGACGAACCCCUUUCUAUCAAGGUUGACCUCGGAUCAGGUAGGGAUACCCGCUGAACUUAA
rnacentral:misc_RNA from 1 species